rnacentral:rRNA from 1 species
GAUGAACGCUGGCGGCGUGCCUAAUACAUGCAAGUCGAGCGAACGGACGAGAAGCUUGCUUCUCUGAUGUUAGCGGCGGACGGGUGAGUAACACGUGGAUAACCUACCUAUAAGACUGGGAUAACUUCGGGAAACCGGAGCUAAUACCGGAUGAUAUUUUGAACCGCAUGGUUCAAAAGUGAAAGACGGUCUUGCGGUCACUUAUAGAUGGAUCCGCGCUGCAUUAGCUAGUUGGUAAGGUAACGGCUUACCAAGGCAACGAUGCAUAGCCGACCUGAGAGGGUGAUCGGCCACACUGGAGCUGAGACACGGUCCAGACUCCUACGGGAGGCAGCAGUAGGGAAUCUUCCGCAAUGGGCGAAAGCCUGGCGGAGCAACGCCGCGUGAGUGAUGAAGGUCUUCGGAUCGUAAAACUCUGUUAUUAGGGAAGAACAUAUGUGUAAGUAACUGUGCACAUCUUGACGGUACCUAAUCAGAAAGCCACGGCUAACUACGUG